rnacentral:rRNA from 1 species
UACAGAGGUCUCAAGCGUUGUUCGGAUUCAUUGGGCGUAAAGGGUGUGUAGGCGGCCAUGUAAGUCAGUUGUGAAAGCCCCGGGCUCAACCCGGGAAGUGCUUCUGAUACUGCUUGGCUUGAGUAUUGGAGAGGUGAGUGGAAUUCCAGGUGUAGUGGUGAAAUACGUAGAUAUCUGGAGGAACACCGGGCGGCGAAGGCGGCUCACUGGCCAUAUACUGACGCUGAAACACGAAAGCGUGGGUAGCAAACAGG